rnacentral:rRNA from 1 species
GAUGAACGCUGGCGGCGUGCCUAACACAUGCAAGUCGAACGGAGUUACUUUUGAUGGAGAUUCGUCAAAGUCAGCUGUAACUUAGUGGCGGACGGGUGAGUAACGCGUGGGUAACCUGCCUCGUAGAGGGGGAUAACAGUUGGAAACGACUGCUAAUACCGCAUAAGCCCACAGGACCGCAUGGUCCAGGGGGAAAAGAUUCAUCGCUACGAGAUGGACCCGCGUUUGAUUAGUUAGUUGGCGGUGUAACGGACCACCAAGACGACGAUCAAUAGCCGGACUGAGAGGUUGAACGGCCACAUUGGGACUGAGACACGGCCCAAACUCC